rnacentral:rRNA from 1 species
AACGGCCUACCAAGUCGACGAUCAGUAGCCGGACUGAGAGGUUGAACGGCCACAUUGGGACUGAGAUACGGCCCAGACUCCUACGGGAGGCAGCAGUCGGGAAUAUUGCGCAAUGGAGGAAACUCUGACGCAGUGACGCCGCGUAUAGGAAGAAGGUUUUCGGAUUGUAAACUAUUGUCGUUAGGGAAGAUACAAGACAGUACCUAAGGAGGAAGCUCCGGCUAACUACGUGCCAGCAGCCGCGGUAAUACGUAGGGAGCGAGCGUUAUCCGGAAUUAUUGGGUGUAAAGGGUGCGUAGACGGGAGAACAAGUUAGUUGUGAAAUACCUCGGCUCAACUGAGGAACUGCAACUAAAACUGUACUUCUUGAGUGCAGGAGAGGUAAGUGGAAUUCCUAGUGUAGCGGUGAAAUGCGUAGAUAUUAGGAGGAACACCAGUGGCGAAGGCGACUUUCUGGACAGAAACUGACGUUGAGGCACGAAAGUGUGGGGAGCAAACAGGAUUAGAUACCCUGGUAGUCCACACCGUAAACGAUGAUUACUAGGUGUGGGGGGACUGACCCCUUCCGUGCCGGAGUUAACACAAUAAGUAAUCCACCUGGGGAGUACGGCCGCAAGGUUGAAACUCAAAGGAAUUGACGGGGGCCCGCACAAGCAGUGGAGUAUGUGGUUUAAUUCGACGCAACGCGAAGAACCUUACCAGGGCUUGACAUAUAAGUGAAUAAUUAAGAGAUUAGUUAGCUCUUCGGAGCACUUAUACAGGUGGUGCAUGGUUGUCGUCAGCUCGUGUCGUGAGAUGUUGGGUUAAGUCCC